GCUAUCUGUCAGUGGCACAUCCAGCAUCUGAGUAAUAAUUCCUUAUUUAUGAAGGGGAGUCUGCAUAACCAACCACAGCCUCCACCACAGCAGUGUAAGUUUAUCAUUUGAAAAUAUCAAGGAGUAGGAGCUUCCAACAACACCAAUCACCUUGACAUGGAGAAACAAAGGAUGAGUUUAAGAUGCAACAGCCAGAAGACAAGGAAGAAGAAUAUGGGCAUGGACUCGGAAGAUGCCAAUGGUAACUGUAAUACUUUAGAGCCAGAAGGGGAAUGGACAAGGC